AGAUGACCUGAGGAACCCUCUGAAGUCCCCGGAAGGGAAGCUCUGCCCCCUCAGGGAUGCCCGAGGGGAAUCAGGCCCAGGAAAAGUUGGAAUUCCACUUCGGAAGUUUUCGCCACCUCCCCCACCCGUUCCCAACUUGUGGUUCGGCCCCUGGGCAUCCCUAGCCCCAGGUCAGCCCUCCGGAAAUUCUGGCUCUUAAAGGGGCCGAGCGAAGGCGCUGGGCCUGGAACCGGUUUCCGCGUAGGAAUUCCCGCGACUAGCCACCUGCAACCGAGGUCCGGGGCGCGGCGCGGCGAUCAGCCUGCGCAGCGCUGGGCGCGACUCUGCUGUCUCCAGGUGGCGGCGAGGGGAAGCGCAUCCUGGGGGAACCCUGGGCGCUUCCUCGCGUUAGACUCCCCCAAGUUGCCAACUGGUCACUGGCUGGUUUCGGUACCCAUGCGUGCUUUUUUUACUGGCCCUGUUAACACUCAAGCCAGUUUACGUCCACCUGCUUACAGCCCUCCUGUGGCUCCUCCUCACUCUCAGCAGAAACUGACCUUCCCUCUCUUAUCUCACCUCCUCCCACUCUCUCUGGCUUACUCAGCUUCAGACACCCUGGCCUCCUCGCUGUUUCCAAAUAUGCUUCUCACAGUCCUCAGAGCCAUCGCCCGUGCUACUCCCUCUGCCAGAACACCCUUCCCGCAGAUGUUCACAUGAACUUCCUCCUCCGAGCGCUCUUUCCUCCUCCUUGGAAGAAACUGAAGAUGUUUGAGAUGGCAGUUGCUCCAUCACCCGGGUUCCUGAGUGAUUCCAAUACCGCUGCACAAUGACCAUUUGAUGACACAAACUGAACUGUACUCCUGGAAGCACAGUGGAUCAAGGUUCAUUCCAUUGCCUAGGCUGAUCCUCGAGUUUUGUGAGUGACUUCACAAUGGCCAGGAAGUUCCUAGCCUCCUUCUACAGCCUUGGUUCACCAUGCUGGACACCCUCUGGCUGCUUAGCCUUUCUCACCCUGCUCUUUGGGCCUAGAUGUUCAUCAGCUGUGCCUACAAGAACCUCUGCCAGCGAGCCCUACUCUCAGGCAGUGAUGCUGUCCUGAAGUGUGACCAUCCCAUGGCACUCUCUUCCAUUCUUGGGGAAGAUCCUUCUCUGCUUAAUUCAAUGCCUGACAUAAGGAAAUUGCCUGGGGGUAGCCUUCAACUGACCAACCCUCAGCCCUCCCAGCCCGGCCUCUAUCGCUGCCGGGGCAAUGAUGAUAGCCUCAUGGUGCAAUAUGAGAUCGACUUCAGGAUGUCACCAACCUUCAUGUUAUGCACAAGAGCCUGGACCAAAAGUCCUUGCAGAAUGAGACCCUGAUCCUGGAUGGCAAGGUACUCAUCUUUACCAACUGGGACCCCUGGCAGGACUGUAACCGCGGCGGGGAACCGGGUGAGCGCAAAUGCCUGGGGUACUGCUACACUGAGGAGCCGCUGGAAAAACCCGUGCCCUGCCGACUGUAUCUGAGAGACGAGAAGAUGCAAUUCAGCCACACGCGGCCCAAACUGCAGGUGGAAGCCUGCCACGUACCCUGCAACCUGGCCAAGGAAAUUCACCAGCCAUACCUCAUCUUUGACAUUUACCAGCCCAGCAAGUGGACGAACAACAAGUGGCUCACCUUGUCCCUUGGCCUCCAUCUACAGGUGACAGGACCAGAGCCGUAGCCCUGCCCUUGACCCUCACCCAGGCUUUGUUUUCUGUGCUCACCUGGGCUCGGGGUUACUUUCCAACAGAAAACCAGACUCGUUCUCCCAGCCCAUAAGCCUUCAUGGUGGUU